CCUUUCCUCAACUGCUGGACUGGAGAAUCAUCCCUCAACUGCUGGAUACAAACAAAACCAAUUGUUAUUGCUUCAUCUUCACUGACCUAUCUCAGUUUGACAAAUGGCUCCAGGGAAAUCAAAUUACAAGGCCAGAACCUCAUUGAAGAAAGCGAACGAAAUGGGGAUUCUGGAAAAGCAUUCUAUAGAUCAUCCACUGCUUCAGGGCUUUGCCGAACACCUAUGGGUCAAUUUGGAAAAUACGAAGUACAAACAGGAGGUUGAGACUGUUUCUCGGUACCUUUAUUAUGCCAACCCUGUCGAACCAUCCUUGAAGUUUGUCAGGGACAGAGAGAAGCUCUUAAGCUACACAAGAAAACAGUCGGAGGCAAACUACAGGGCAAAGACUUCAGUCAAUUACCUAAAGUGCUUGAAAAGAUUCUUGGAUUACAACACUGCAUUGACCAAUCUGAGAAAGGAUGACAAGGCGCUCUACAAUGACUGCGUUGAUUUCGUGGAUUACAUUGGCUCUGUGCAGAGUAUGCUCUCUAAGCAAGUGAGCAAAGAGAUUGUAUCCAAGAGGCAUGCCAUGUUAAUGGAUAAAGAUGUUCUUAGUCCUCGUGACUGCUGGGCCAUUUUUGAGAAAGCUGAGGAAGGAUUUUUGAACAUCAUGAAUCAACUUGGUGACAGCUCUACCCCCCCCCCCUGGCGGCUUCUCAGUGCAUAUUUGUGCUGUACUAUCUGGAGGCAAUCGUCAUACUGAAGCACUGCCAAAGGCCAUGUGUGGUGGAGAACAUGAAGGUCGCCGAAUGGCUUGGGCGGAAACAAGAAGCGGAACAUACAAUCAUAUAUGCAGCACAUUUUGCGGUUGGAAUUGCCCUGUCGAAGCAGGAGGAGGAGUGGUUUGAAAAGUGCUACACAAGAGUGCGACCACAACACCUUGCUGCCAAAGGGAAACGCAAGCGGGACGAACGGAAUGACAAGGAUGGUGAUGAAUUUUUCUUUGUCUCCUCAACGGGGAAGAAAAUCAACAACCCAACCUCUGACCUGGACCGCCUGCAUGAAAAGCACAACCUCCCCCAUGUGAACAGCCAGACUGUGCGGAGAACAUUUGAGACGGAAGCUAACUGCUUGGAUGAGCCAAAGAAGGCAUUGGUGGCUGGCUACCUGGCCCAUUCUGUCAACACAGCUGCAAAACACUAUCGAUUGAAAAAUCGGCGGGCAGUUGUGGAGGGCGCUGAUCUAUUGGCCAAGAUGGUUGAGGCGUCAAGGUGAGCAUAUUUUAUAUUUGUCAAGACAAUGCCAACAUAGUGUUGGGCCAGAGCCCAGCGGGGAGCCACCAGACACUGGAGCCGAGAGGAACAAAGGGUUGUUAAACUUUGGGCGGGAAAACAUCCUCCUGCAGGCUCAAGAAUCUCCCCCUGGUGGUGGAAAAAUGUUCUGGGAAUGCCUUGGAACCCCCCCCUGAUUUCCAAGCCCAGCCCACUCAGGUCCAGCUCUGACACUCAAUUGGCUUAAAGCCAGCAUCAUCCUAUGACCAACUCCUCAAGGAGGAGGACCUCUCAGGUAAUUUAAAAGCCCAUGCACCCCAAAUAUCGCUGCCAUUUACCCUGCACUGAAGACAUCAACAGACCCCUCCGGGUCUUCAGCUGAUUUAGUUGCUAAAGGGGGCAACCUUAACUUUUAGUUUAUCAGCCAUUUUCCCUGCUCUGAAGACGUCAACAGACCCCUCCGGGUCUUUCCAGAUGAUUUAGUUGCUAAAGGGGGCAACCAGAGUUAUUUUCUUUCAUUUCUUUCAUUGUCUUUUAUCUCAGUCAACGUUUUUAUUUUCAAAAGGACUUUUGCUCUUUUAACUUGAAAAGACCAAACAGGAAAUUGCACGCGGAACAAUCUCAGACUGUUUCACUUUCCCCACGGACUUUACUUUUCUUUUCCCAACGAUCUACAAACGGCUUCCACAGCCGUCCCCUGCAGAAGCGCGAGAUUCAUUCCGCUGAGGAGCACGAGCUCCACAUCCCUGAAGAAGAAGGACGACGUUCAUCCCGUCGAGGCAGCACGAGAAAAUCCGCUGCUUGUCCGGUCCAGCGGCCGAAGACCGCUUGAGAGACCACGUGA